UAUCUCACCUCGCUCGGCACUUCAGCGGCUCAACGCCUCGCUCUCUCACUCAGCGGUCCGCCUCCUUCCGCCCGCGCGCCGGCGACGCCGCCCUCGUCGCGCGCGCGCCGGCACCGCCCUCCGCCUGCGCGGCCGUUUCCGGACCCGCCGCACCGCACGUCGCCGGCCUCUCCGUCUCCAGCUCCGGCCGCCGCCAGCGCUGACGGGGCGAGCAGUGGGAAGUGGCGCAGGGGUGUGGACUCCGGUUGUAUGCCACACAGCCUCCUGGACCCUAUCCUCCAGCGAUUUAGUCAGGGCACACUGCAGUGCUACACGCAUUUUAGGCUCUGAGUGACUCAGCAUCUCAUCUUAGGCCAACCCCUGACGGCGGCAGAGAAAGGCAGCUGUGGGUGAGCAAAGUGGCGCGCAGUGACUGAGUGGCAAGCACAGUGGUGCGAGGUGGCUGACAACUCCACCUGAAGACCCAAGCGGUGGCUCGGAUAACAGAAUUCACAAACCAU